ensembl:lncRNA
GCCUGGCAGUCACCCAGACAGUCUCACCGCCAGUCUAGACUCUAAGGAAAUGUCCCAUCACUCCAGUUGGCACAAACAGUGCUGGGGGGAGGGGCCCUGCCUUGCCGUUGAAAACUGCACUGCUUGGGUCCUCUCCAGGUUUAAACACGGGGAAGGAAAAAAAAGGCAGUUCGGAGACCACGCUCUCCUGAAGUAACUACAGCCCCCUCCUUCCAAUUGAGAACAGAACUGGGCUUCCUUACCUGCUGCCUUCCACUGGCUCACUGCAGACACUGCUUCUAUGAUGUCCCAGCCGAGGUGGCAGAAAAGGACCCAGCAGGGCACUGCUUGCUACCGGGCAGUGGUUUCCAACGCCCCCAGGUUCGCGGUGCUCUUCUUCUCCCCUCUCCCCAAACCCCUACAUUCUGCGCUCACCUCGACCCCGGCCCGGCCCCGCCCGGCCCUGGUGCCGAGCAGCCGGCCCGUGGGUUACCACCUCCUCCUCCGCCUGCGCCUCCGGAUCCUGUGCCCCUCAGGGGGACCCUCCGCCUCCUGGGACCCCUUCCCGUCCAGGUAUGUUUCCUGGACAGCCCGCACCACCUGUCCCUCCUGUACCCCAGGCAGCCAAUUCGCUUCCUGCACCCCCAGACGUCCCUCUCCCUCAGGCCCCCGGGGCCCCACUGGCCGGGCCCUCCCCAGCAGUUCGAGUCUCUUGCGACGGGCCGGGACCUCUCCCAGGACCACCGCCUCCCGUCUGAGGUGCCCGCAGCUCUCCCAGUACUGCUCCCCGGAACUUUCGAGCUCGUCUCUGCGCUCCCAAGAGCCCUCCCCGAACUCGGACAGCUGCUCGGGCUGCUGCAGCAGCCGACGUGGGCUCCCCUCCCCCCGUUCCUGCACCCCGGUGCGGGCCUCCCCCCGCUCCUGCACUGCGGGGCUGCUUUCCCCUUUCUCCUGGUGCUGCUUGCCGGGCCCCAGCCCCUCCUCCUGCACCACCGGCCAGCCCGCGGAGCCAGUCCACGGCGGCGGGCGCCUCCAGUCCGCGCCGUCCGGCGGCCCCCACACCACCCCCAGACUGGGCUCGUGGCCCCGGCCGCCCCGCUCCUGCACCCCCGGGCCCACCCCGCCCUCCUCCUGCACCGCCGGACCCACGCCCCCCUGCUCCUCCACGCCGAGCUUCAGCCCGCGGAGCUGCUGCGGGCCCCAGCUGAGAACCCCGACCAGCUGCGGCUGCUGCUCCGGCAGCCCUGGGCUGAGCCCGCCGCGCUCUUCCUGCACAACUCCCCGCCUGGGGCCCCCAGCCGGCACUGCCCAACGCACUCGCCUGCCCCCCAGAGGCCGCGCGGUCCCGCCCCUCCAGAUGGUGCUGUCCUCGGCGUCCGCUCACACCUCCCCGCGCCCGGCUGCUUCCGCCCCGUCCCCCGGGGGAGGGGGCUGCGGGGUAGCGUCCCCUCCCGCUCCGCCCCCCGUCCCGGUCCCGGCUCCCUGCCCUCGCUCCUGGGCGUCGAGGUCCGCCCGCCGGGCGCCGCGCCCUGCGCCGGCCCCCGCAGGUGCUGCGGCCCAGCGCGCCGGCCCAAGAGCCAGGAGCGCCCGCCCUCCCGCCGGAGUUCCUGGAACCCGCCUGCGCCUGCGCCGCCCCAGGGGGCGGGGCCCGGCGGGAUUGACCCGCCCCUUUAAGGGGCCCUGUCCUACUUACUCCUCCCUCUCCCUCUUCCUUCAAACCGGCUACCACUCCCCCUUCUUCAUCCCGCCAGAGGAGCUGCUUGCGCCUUCUGGUGGAGCCAAAGGGAGAAGACGUGAAGCAGAAGGUCAGAGGCAAAAACUUCUGAAGGCAAGUGCUCUAACUUGA